GGGAGCGUGUGUCCUCCGAGCCCGUUCCGGACCACAUCGCAGCGCCGCGUCCUUAGGGGCGGGCUCGGGGGGCACCACCCUCGAGGGGCGGAACCCGUGGGGGCGGUGGCGUGGAUCCGGAGGAUACAGCGAGUAGACGGUAGUCUACAAACCAGGAAGAGCCCCUUGCCAGACACUGGAUCUGCUGGUGCUUUGGUCUUGGACUUCCCAGCUCCCAGAACUAUGUCAAAUCUACAAUCUCAUCUUCCAUCUUAAAGUAGAAAAAGAAGAACAAGGCCGGGUGUGGUGGCUCACACUUGUAAUCCCAGCACUUUCGGAGGCUGAGGUUUCUGAGCAAGAUGCUUGCAUGAUGAAAGAUUCAAUCUAAGGCCAAUGCAAAAAUAUUGUGAAAGCAGCAGGAUCAGCUAGCCUUCCAGUUGGCUUCUUAAAUGCUGCAUUGAAAGGAUGAAACAGAACGGAUGUGAACAAGAGUUCCCUGAGAAAGGACAGCUCUUAGAGAGAUAGGAUAAUUACUGGACUCAAGAAGAUACCAAAUCAUGGUGUGCAUUUCUGCGUUGUGUUCGGAAGAGGAACUGAGGAUUGUUAUGAAAAGGAAGGAUGUGUUCAACUUAGAAGAAUUAAACCUCAACCAUCUGUCUCUUCCAAAUGGCAUUCUUGAUUCCAAAAUCUUAAGUAGAGUGUAAAGUUAUUGAUGGAUACUGUCGUAGCCAGGCCAAGCUGAGCUAUUCAGUAGAACAGAUAAACCUGAAAAUCUCAGUGGCUUAACACAACAAGAUUUAUUUCUUUUUAAUAUCACAAUCUGAUGUAGAUUGGGUUGGUCUCCUGCUUGGCUUUCCAUCAAGUGACAGCUCAGGGAUCCAAGUUGCUUUUAUAUGGAAACUGUCAUCUUGAGAGCAUUUUGUUUCCAGCUGUAUGGACAGGAGAUACAGAAGGUGUGGAGAAGUGCAUCCUUCCUGGAUCACAAAUGAUACAUCACUUUAGCUCACAUUCCAUUGUUAAGAAUUAGUGACAUGAUCCCACUGGGAUUCAUGGGGUCUGGGAUAUGGAACACAUGGAUAUUUGGUGAGCAUGAACAAACUUUGCCACAGAAACAUUACCUCUAUUAUGUUAUUGUGUAUCCCUUAUCUUUUCAUGGUAGAUUUCGCAUAGGAUUAGUAUCAGGAAAAGGUUUUUCUCUCCUAAAAUGUUGGUAUUCUUCUUUUUUUCCUCUGGAGUCAGGAACUUUAGAUUUAAUAUUAAUGACUAUCUAAUCUGAGAUUUUUAGUAGCAUCAUGUAUCCUAUUUCUCUAUUGUGUUUCUGGAAUAGUUUUAUUAUUGCAUUUUAACUGACCAAUUGUAUUUGAUUUUUUAAAAAUUGCCAUAAUCCUUUCUAGCUUUAGCUGUUCAUUUAAUGGACACUUACCAAUAGCAGAUGUAUUGAUAAGGAUGAAGGAUGUUUUUGGCUGCAACAGAAAAACUAAUAAGUGGUUUAAGCAGUAAGAGUUUAAUUAUCUGAUACAAGAAGUCUGGCAGUUUCAGGAUAGGUUAAUUCAAUGGUGUGAUAUCAUAGAGGAUCAUGUACACUCACUUUUUCUGUUUUAUAAACUUCAGCUUUU